rnacentral:lncRNA from 1 species
GCAGGCGCGUCAGGUGCCAGCUUCCUGCGGCUCCGUGCCUGGGCCGUCGCGAUGCACGUGUCGCGUUUCCUCGCGAUCCUGGCGCUUCCCACGCGGGGCGGGUAAAGGCGGUCUCUGCUGGAGGCUCGCGCCCACCUUUCCCAGGUGGAAGGGUCGCCCCUGGGGCCGAGGCCUGCCGUCCUGACCUUCGGUUGGAAGUGAGGCCGACGGCAAAAGGAAGCACCGGGGGAAGCGCCCCCGAGGACCAGGAAACACACACCGGACGCCGGAGCGCACCCGAGUGCCCGGCCCGCGGGACACGCUGCCGCCCGCCGUCCAGUCGCCGCUUCUCACUCGCGUUCAUGCGUGUCCGCCCCGAGCCGAGCUCUGACUGCGACCGCGCGGUGGACGGACGGCAGGCGGGACCCCCGGGACCGCACGUGGGUGGAGCCCCGGGUGGGGCAGGAGACCCUGUAGGAGGACCCCGGGCCGCAGGCCCCUGAGGAGCGAUGACGGAAUAUAAGCUGGUGGUGGUGGGCGCCGGCGGUGUGGGCAAGAGUGCGCUGACCAUCCAGCUGAUCCAGAACCAUUUUGUGGACGAAUACGACCCCACUAUAGAGGAUUCCUACCGGAAGCAGGUGGUCAUUGAUGGGGAGACGUGCCUGUUGGACAUCCUGGAUACCGCCGGCCAGGAGGAGUACAGCGCCAUGCGGGACCAGUACAUGCGCACCGGGGAGGGCUUCCUGUGUGUGUUUGCCAUCAACAACACC